rnacentral:lncRNA from 1 species
UCCUCCUUUUUUAUUUUCUUGAUGGUGAUGAGUGAACCAGUCCGGUGGACCUCGCCUGAGAAGGUGACCGAAGGUCCAGCGCUGGUGGUGUGCUGGACAGGUUAUGAGUCAUUGAUCUCAUUUGAAAUGUUUUAAUUUCACGCGUUGGUUUUAAUUACCAUCCAUGCAGCGCAUUGACUUAGGUCUAUUGUGGAACGCGCGUUUUUGUCCACUUGAUCUGCCACCUCAAUUAAUGAGGGAGAUCAAGUGGUUCAAGUUUUUUUGAUUUUUUGAUUUUUUUUUUAAUUCAUUUGAUUUUCAUUAAUUCAUAUUAAUUUUAAUAUUGAUCCAAAAAAUAUGAGAGUUUCAGUAAAAAAAUUUAAAUAAAUUCCUCUUUCAUAUUUUGAAUUAAAAUUAUUUUUUGGAUUAUUAUUAAUAUUUUUCAUGAUUUAAUUGAUUUUGUGUUUGUUUUUAAUUCUUUAAAAAUACUUUUAAGUCUUUAAAAAUUCUGAAGUUUUUUCUCCAAGGUCCUUUGAC